AGGUCAGGGCAAAUUUUCCUCAUACACACACACAAAAAUUAACUCAAGAAUCUCAGAUUCAUCUUGCUCCUUCCAAGUUUUGGACUGAUAUUUGCUAAGUCAUGACUUAUCAAUCUUCACUUAGUUUUUCUUUUUAGAGCUCUUCGAGUAGGUGACAUCUAUCAAUGAUAUAAACAGACACGUUCAACUGCAAGAUUCCACUCGCGACGCCAGAAUUCGUCAAGAGGUCUGCAUUGUUGUUUCUCACUGAGGCAUAGGACCGACUGCAGGCCAUUGUUUCUCCAGCUCAAGUGGGCCUGUCUGGUUCGUGUGGGAAGAAUGGGGGUGACAUGCAUGAGUUCCUGAGGAUAAAAGAACUACCGGUUCUAGGAAGGGACGGGAGUCUAGCCACUAAUGCAGAGUAAAUAAACAUUUUUCACCACCUCUUGCUCCAUGUGAUUUUUUUAAAGGUCAAGAGCUGCCAUUACAGUAUUUUAAAAGCUUCAAAUUAUGUUUAAAGAAUGUAUCACUGAACUCCCAGAAACCUUAUCAGAAUUUGGGAACCUACGGUGAUGGUUUGGUCCUUGAGUUUAUCAUCACCGGGAGGCGGGGUGUGAAAGAAAUGCAGAUGCCGCGGUGUUUCUGAUAUCCUGCAAUUUAGCUUGAAGGGAAGGUUGCUUAGGUUCUUCCAAAUUUUCUUCAAAAUUCAUUGAAGUGUUGAGACACUUCCAUUUCAAAAUUUCACGCAGUCCGUAUUUUGGUCACACAUUUGGGACAGACAAGAAUAAGACUCUGGGGGCCUUUCACCACAAACAUUCUUUGCGUGCUCAAAAUGCAAAGAAUGGACCAUGUUCCUGUGGAGGCUCCAAAUGUAUGCGUGAAGGAAAGAGAGAAGUAAAAGGCAGAGGGAGAUUUCUUUUUUAAAUUAAAGAAUAAAAAGCUUACUUCAAGGAAGUGUAGAGUAACAGCAGAAAGACUUCCUUAGCAACUGAGGUUUUCAGAUUUCAAAUUAGGAGCCCUUACAUCACGGCUGCCGGGCUAAAAAUCAAUUCUAUAUUUUCGGAGUUAAUACUAAGGAUUGCACUUAACAGACAUGGAGACGAAUAAGGUAUGCAGAAGGAGUAAAAGCAGCACACACGCACAAAUUCAGGCCUUAGUUUUGGCCAUGAUCCAGCACAAUGAUGUUUCAACCAGAUUUGAAAAAAAAAAUCAAUAACAUCUGUGGUAUAAUGGUUAAUUAAAGCAGCUCUUCAGCAGAGCUCAGGAGGAGAGGCUCGGCCUGAAAUUCAGACAGCUGAAGCUUGAUUAUCAGGAAAGAAUGCUUUUUUAGCUAUGAGUGGAUAGGCCAAAAGCUGCAAUGGGCCAAAAUGGAGAGAAAAAUUGCUUUUAUUUUAACUUUCUUUAAGUAAUCAAUACAUGCUUUUCACCUGUAUUAGGACACUGCUCAGCUCCAAAGCCUGUUACUCCACUUCAGCAUAAAUUCUACUUACUGUCUUUUGAAACUUAGGUUUAAAAAGGAUCCCCCGUCCCCUGUAAAGCAAAAGAAAAAGAAGCAGAAGAAAAGAACAUGCAGGUGUGGGUGGGUGUCCUUGAGAGCAGUUAAAGCUCAGGCUCUAGGAUGCUCCGAAGGGUAGAAUCCCUAAGCUCUGAGCAAAGCUGACUGACCUUGGGGUACGCAGAGGUCAUAGCCAAAGUAGGAGGCUGCGCAAUACAACAACAAAACUAAAAAUUCUCAAGGGAGCUAUGAGGAGCAGGGUCAAUUUCCACCUUCUUUUUGCCUUCCUAUUGUUUUGAGUACUGUGCCAGGGAUGUUUUCUUUACUUUUCUAAGGACAAAGAUCAAAGAAUCAACAAUGAUGUCUCCUGGCCACAGACGGGAAGGUCAGCAGGUGACUUCUCCACGAAAAAACAGUUGGUAACGCCACAGCUGACUAUUUUCUUGGCGCCUUGCUUUGGCUUCUAUUUCUCGUGUUGUAAUCUGCAUCGUCACGUCAUUGUCAAAUUUGGGGAAGCAUUUGCAAAACCACAUUGCCCUCUCUGGAUCACACAAGUCCUCACAAGAAUACCGAAGAAUAAUAUGGUUAGUCAAUCGGUCAUUUGUUUUUUCCACUCAACACGUUUUUCUUCACAUUGCCACGCAUGUGCCCAUCACCGUGCUGGGUGCCAAGGUUCCAAAGACAAAUAAGAGAUGGUUCUAGGUCUAGGAAGCUCACAGCCUGUUUGAGGGAAGUGUGCUUGUGAACAAAUAAUUGCAAACACAGCAAAAAAGAGCACAAAUAGAAGCGUCUACAAGGGCUGUGGAUUUUGAAACUCCCUCCUGUCAAUUUCACUCGGAAAAGGGCAGAGUGAGGGCUUGGGAGCUUCAAGGAGGGGUGACGCUAGAGCAGAUCUUGGAGGAUGAGGAAGAGUUCCCGGGCAGACAAGGGUGAUAGAAAGGCAGAAAAGGCAUUCCGAAGUUAGGUAUACUUACGUGAACUAUACGGAUUGGUUCAGAAGAAUAUACAUGGAAGAAGUGAUCGGAAGGUCUUAUAAAAUCCUUAUAAUUAAUGUCUGUAUUUUACAUCGCCUCUCCUCAUUUUAAGAACUAUGAGGAUCGGAGAUUACAACUCCUUCCUUUGUAGCUAUCACAAUCUACUAGUCUUUUUCUCUUUCAUCUGACCAUAGUCUCUCAUUGGAGGUUAGAAAAUUCAUUGGUAUCUUCUCUUCUCUAAAUUAAAUGCAUUCUCUAUCUUUGGCUUUUCCUCAGGAGUCCAGUUUUUCAACCUAUGACUUUUCUUUUUAACCUUUCUCUGAGCCCUUCUCAGAUUCUCUCCCUUUCUCCACAAUUUCAAAAUGUGAACUAGAUUUAAAGACAGCAGGUCUGCCCAUCAGUACACUGUAUAUUAAA
rnacentral:lncRNA from 1 species